rnacentral:rRNA from 1 species
GAAGGAGGAGUAAAGGCGCAAGCCGCUUUGAGAGGAGCCUAGGUCCUAUCAGCUUGUUGGUGAGGUAAUGGCUCACCAAGGCUAUGACGGGUAGGGGACGUGAGAGCGUGACCCCCAACGACGACACUGAGAUACGGGUCGUACACCUACGGGUGGCUGCAGUCAAGAACAUUCGACAAUGGGCGCAAGCCUGAUCGAGCGACACCGCGUGCAGGAAGAAGGGCUUCGGCUUGUAAACUGCUUUUCCGAGGGAGGAACGUAAGUGACUGUACCUUGGGAAUAAGGGGCUGCAAACUUCGUGCCAGCAGCCGCGGUAAUACGAAGGCCUCAAGCGUUAUCCGGAUUUAUUGGGCGUAAAGGGUCUCCAGGUGGUUGUGUUAGUCGGGCGUUAAAUUUCGCUGCUUAACGGUGAAGCCGCGUUCGAAACGGCACAACUAGAGGAAUGGAGAGGGAGUAGGAACUCACGGUGUAGGGGUGAAAUCCGUUGAUAUCGUGGGGAACACCAAAGGCGAAGGCAAACUCCUGGCCAUUUCCUGACACUCAUGAGACGAAAGCGUGGGGAUCAAAAAGGAUUAGAUACCCUUGUAGUCCACGCCCUAAACGAUGCACGCUCGCUGUUUCGAGUAUCGACCCUCGGAGUGGCUUAGCUAACGCGUUAAGCGUGCCGCCUGGGAAGUACGGCCGCAAGGCUAAAACUCAAAGGAAUAGACGGGGAUUCGCACAAGCGGUGGAUCAUGUGGUUCAAUUCGACGACAACCGAGGAACCUCACCAGGGUUUGAAAUGCUGUCGACGUUUCGGUGAAAGCCGGAACUUCUCACAAGGACGGCAGCACAGGUGCUGCACGGCCCUCGUCAGUUCGUGGUGUGAAUUGUUCCCUUAAGUGGGGUAACGAACGCAACCCUCAUUGCCUGUUAUAUGUGUCAGGCGAGACUGCCUCAUUUCAUGGGGAGGAAGGUGGGGAUGACGCGAGGUCAGCGUGGCCCUUUGAUACCCUGGGCUACACACGUGAUACAAUGGUACACACAAUGGGUCGCCAAAGCGCGAGCUGGAGCUAAUCCCAUCAAAAUGUACCCCAGUUCAGAUUGGAGUCUGCAACUCGACUCCAUGAAGCCGGAAUCGCUAGUAAACGCAGAUCAGCUACGCUGCGUUGAAUACGUUCUCGAAUCUUGUACUCACCGCCCGUCACGUCAAGGAAGCCGGUAAGACCUGAAGCUCGUCUUUUGGCGAAUCAAGGUCAGAUCGGUGACAGGGACGAAGUCGUAACAAGGCA